rnacentral:tRNA from 1 species
AGCCCUGAGGUGUGACACGUCAGAUUGCAAAUCUGAAGAAGCAGGUUUCCAGCCUGCCGGGGCUU